rnacentral:ncRNA from 2 species
UAGUUUGGCGUCUAGUUUGGCGUCUAGUUUGGCUGGAUAUAAGGGAAGAGAAGUGUGAGACUUCCGCUGCCCCGCAGCCGUAAUGGGAACGAAAACCCCGAUUAAUGCCACUGAGCCCGUCUCUCAAUCUUGUGAGAAGACGACUUGGGAAGGCGGGUGAGUAGGUAUGCCCUAAGCCGGAAGACCUGUCCAGUAGGAAAUCACGAG